AGGUGGUGCAUGGUUGUCGUCAGCUCGUGUCGUGAGAUGUUGGGUUAAGUCCCGCAACGAGCGCAACCCUCGACCUUAGUUGCCAGCAUUCAGUUGGGCACUCUAAGGUGACUGCCGGCUAAAAGUCGGAGGAAGGUGGGGAUGACGUCAAAUCAUCAUGCCCCUUAUGACCUGGGCUACACACGUGCUACAAUGGGCGGUACAAAGGGUCGCGAACCCGCGAGGGGGAGCCAAUCCCAAAAAGCCGCUCGUAGUCCGGAUCGUAGUCUGCAACUCGACUACGUGAAGUCGGAAUCGCUAGUAAUCGCAGAUCAGCAUGCUGCGGUGAAUACGUUCCCGGGUCUU
rnacentral:rRNA from 1 species